CGGGCAGCCCCUCUCUCAAUCACCUUAGGGCGUGGACUACCCACGGGUAUCUAAUCCUGUUUCGAUCCCCACGCUUUCGUGCCUCAGCGUCAAUUUAACCAUAGUAAGCUGCCUUCGCAAUCGGUGUUCUGUGACAUAUCUAUGCAUUUCACCGCUACUUGUCACAUUCCGCCUACCUCUAGUUCAUUCAAGCUCUUCAGUAUCAAGGGCACUGCGAUGGUUGAGCCACCGUCUUUCACCCCUGACUUAAAAAGCCGCCUACGCACCCUUUAAACCCAAUAAAUCCGGAUAACGCUUGGAUCCUCCGUAUUACCGCGGCUGCUGGCACGGAGUUAGCCGAUCCUUAUUCCUUCGGUACAUUCAGCUAUCUACACGUAGAUAGGUUUAUUCCCGAAUAAAAGCAGUUUACGACCCAGAGGGCUGUCUUCCUGCACGCGGCAUGGCUGGUUCAGAGUUGCCUCCCAUUGACCAAUAUUCCUUACUGCUGCCUCCCGUAGGAGUCUGGUCCGUGUCUCAGUACCAGUGUGGGGGGUCAUCCUCUCAGAUCCCCUAGACAUCGUGGUCUUGGUGGGCCGCUACCCCGCCAACUAACUAAUGUCACGCAUGCCCAUCUUAAUCCUAUAAAUAUUUGAUCAUUGU
rnacentral:rRNA from 1 species